GGGCUCAUUGUAUAGUGGUUAUUACGUCUGCUUGACGUGCAGAAGGUCCCCGGUUCAAUUCCGGGUGGGCCCA
rnacentral:tRNA from 2 species